UGGGGAAUCUUGCGCAAUGGGCGAAAGCCUGACGCAGCCAUGCCGCGUGAAUGAUGAAGGUCUUAGGAUUGUAAAAUUCUUUCAGCGGGGAAGAUAAUGACGGUACCCGCAGAAGAAGCCCCGGCUAACUUCGUGCCAGCAGCCGCGGUAAUACGAAGGGGGCUAGCGUUGCUCGGAUUUACUGGGCGUAAAGGGCGCGUAGGCGGACGAUCAAGUUGGGGGUGAAAUCCCGGGGCUUAACCUCGGAACUGCCUCCAAAACUGAUAGUCUAGAGUUUGGGAGAGGUGUGUGGAACUCCGAGUGUAGAGGUGAAAUUCGUAGAUAUUCGGAAGAACACCAGUGGCGAAGGCGACACACUGGCCCAAUACUGACGCUGAGGCGCGAAAGCGUGGGGAGCAAACAGG
rnacentral:rRNA from 1 species